GACGAACGCUGGCGGCGUGCUUAACACAUGCAAGUCGAACGGAAAGGCCCUGCUUUUGUGGGGUGCUCGAGUGGCGAACGGGUGAGUAACACGUGAGUAACCUGCCCUUGACUUUGGGAUAACUUCAGGAAACUGGGGCUAAUACCGGAUAGGAGCUCCUGCUGCAUGGUGGGGGUUGGAAAGUUUCGGCGGUUGGGGAUGGACUCGCGGCUUAUCAGCUUGUUGGUGGGGUAGUGGCUUACCAAGGCUUUGACGGGUAGCCGGCCUGAGAGGGUGACCGGCCAGAUUGGGAUUGAGAUGCGGCCCAGACUCCUGCGGGGGGCAGCAGUGGGGAAUAUUGCACAAUGGGCGGAAGCCUGAUGCAGCAACGCCGCGGGGGGGAUGACGGCCUUCGGGUUGUAAACCGCUUUCGCCUGUGACGAAGCGUGAGUGACGGUAAUGGGUAAAGAGGCACGGGCUAACUAGGUG
rnacentral:rRNA from 1 species